rnacentral:rRNA from 1 species
UUUAAUUGGGGGCUGGAAUGAAAGGUUUUAUGGGGAAUAGCUGUUUCAGAAUAAAUAAAUUGAAUUUAAGUUUUGCAUAAAAACUUGCAAAUGUUCUUGAGGGACGAGAAGACCCUGUGGAUUUUUAUUUGUUAAAAAAUAAAUUUUAUAAUAUUUUAUUUUUUAUCCAAAUUUGGUUGGGAUGACAAUAAAAUUAACUUUAUUUAGAGGGUAAUAAUUAGAUCCUUUUUAAGGAAAAAAGAACAAAUUACCCCAGGGAUAACAGCGUAAUACUUUUGGACAGGACAAAUGGAUAAAAGUGUUUGCGACCUC